UACGUAGGGUGCGAGCGUUGUCCGGAAUUAUUGGGCGUAAAGAGCUCGUAGGCGGCCUGUCGCGUCGGAUGUGAAAGCCCCGGGGCUUAACCCCGGGGUCUGCAUUCGAUACGGGCAGGCUAGAGUUCGGUAGGGGAGAUCGGAAUUCCUGGUGUAGCGGUGAAAUGCGCAGAUAUCAGGAGGAACACCGGUGGCGAAGGCGGAUCUCUGGGCCGAUACUGACGCUGAGGAGCGAAAGCGUGGGGAGCGAACAGG
rnacentral:rRNA from 1 species